AGCUGCGGCAGCGACACUAUGUGUUGUUGGGUAGGGGAGCGUUCUGUAAGCCUGUGAAGGUGUACUGUGAGGUAUGCUGGAGGUAUCAGAAGUGCGAAUGCUGACAUAAGUAACGAUAAAGCGGGUGAAAAGCCCGCUCGCCGGAAGACCAAGGGUUCCUGUCCAACGUUAAUCGGGGCAGGGUGAGUCGACCCCUAAGGCGAGGCCGAAAGGCGUAGUCGAUGGGAAACAGGUUAAUAUUCCUGUACUUGGUGUUACUGCGAAGGGGGGACGGAGAAGGCUAUGUUGGCCGGGCGACGGUUGUCCCGGUUUAAGCGUGUAGGCUGGUUUUCCAGGCAAAUCCGGAAAAUCAAGGCUGAGGCGUGAUGACGAGGCACUACGGUGCUGAAGCAACAAAUGCCCUGCUUCCAGGAAAAGCCUCUAAGCAUCAGGUAACAUUAAAUCGUACCCCAAACCG
rnacentral:rRNA from 1 species